UCUUUGCCCAGGCUGCGCCCAGAAAUACAAUCCACAGCCCCUGGUUCUGUCCAGUUACCAUCCAGCCUCCCUAAGAACUUUCCCCUCCAAGACCAGGGAGAAUGAGACUUUGGCUCCAUUUAGGUUUCCUUGUAGCAGCUUUGGAAGGUGCCCGGUCGCAGGUGCAGCUGGUGGAGUCCGGAGGGGAUGUGAAAAAGCCCGGAGACUCUCUCCGCCUCUCCUGCAAAGCCUCCGGGUUCACCUUCAGCAGCUACCAGAUGCACUGGGUCCGGCAAGCUCCCGGGAAAGGCCUGGAGUGGGUCUCGCUCAUUUACACUGACGGAAGCGAAAGUUAUUACUCAGAUGCCGUGAAAGGACGAUUCACCAACUCUAGGGACAAUUCCAACAACCUCCUGUAUCUGCAAAUGACCGGCCUGAAACCCCAGGACACCGCCCGGUAUCAUUGCGCUAGACGCAAGGUGAAAUGAGACCUAUUGUUGCUAACACAAAACCCCAGGCUGCGGAUUGUCCCGUCUACCGUGUGCCGAGUAGAGGCAGCAGUUAAACGAAUCAUACAACAGGCAGGAGACGGGGCUCAGCGUUCAAAACGAAGAGCUUGUGUGUGUGUGUGUGUGUGUGUGGUGGAGAUGGGCUGCUGCUUUAGAUCCCUGGCAAUGCCACCCCUUGUUACACAUAAGCGCACUGGGGCCUGCAGUGCAGAGACCAUCGGAGUCCUCCAUAACCCCUGCUCAGCUGGGAUACCUCUUGUAAGAGCCACUCUCCCCUGGUAGAAGGGGAACAUUCGAUCUUCUCCUGAUCAUUUCUAUCUCCGAUACAGUGGGCAGUGGCUGUCACCUCAGAGAACAGAAAUGGGUGAUGGGGUUGAUCUACAGCCCUUCAGAACCAAUGAAAAACCUUGCCUCUGAUUUCACACAGCUGUGGUUGUUGUGAUCUUAAGACAUACAUACAUGGUGAGAGCAGAACCACAGCUGGAAUAAAUUAUCACAGGCCCACUGGAUUCAAUACAGCAGAUACCCCUAUUUAUGCCAGCUGACGAUCUGGGCCUUUUAUUCAAACAAUUAAAAGCUCUAAUAAACACAUGGGUGCUUUUUAUCCAGUGGGUUCUGGAUGCCUAAUUAUCUUAGGUUCCUGUGAAAAAACGAGUUAUUCCUAAGAAGAGUUUCCAUUUCUACAUUUAGAAUUAGAUAAUAACUCCUUCUCAAUAGUGCCUGUUCUUCUGGAAAGAUUAAAGGCUGUACACUGGAAGUUUUAAAAUGUUAUAAAGCAAUUAAGAUUCCAGUUAAUAUUGGAUCCCUGCCCCCCGAAGACUUUAUUAACUAAGGAGAAAACGAGACAACAGAUGGAAUGCCACAAGAAAACUGAGAUAAUAUGUCAGCAUAACAGGCACUGGUGUCAGCAAACCACUGAUCUAACUGCUCUCUUCUAGACAUAGACGCACAAACACACGUACAGGUGUCCUACCUCAGCGUGCAGAGAAGGAUGAGCUGGAGUGCUUGUAGGGGGAGAGACCUGGCCUCCAAGCCCACCCGGGCCUGUGAGCUAGUAGCUGCAGUGAGGGACUCUGGAUUACAAUAUUAUGUCACUACUCUGCCAUAUUCUCUGUUUUCAUUUUCAACCAUAAAGACUCCCACAGCAUGAGCUGCACUCAUCCCUUCUAAAUCCACCCCCACUGGACCCACACCCAUAAUGACCCAGCAUCGGAGCUUGUUCCCCUCGUUCUGUACCCACCCUCACAACCAAUCUCAUCCCCUAGAAAUACCCACAGCCCAGCCUGCUCCCCUCUCAUCUGUGCCGAACCCCACUGCCACCCACUUCAGCUCACCCCUUAGAGACCCCAUCACCAGCACCUCCUCCCCCUCCUCUGUAUACCUAACCCCCUGCUACCCCAGAGCAACUGUCACCUCAUAGAGACACCAACAGUACCAACAUCUCCCUCCCCUCUAUACCGUAACACACGCUCCCCCUGCAUCCCAAGGAUGUCAUAAAUAUAAAGGGAAGGGUAAACACCUUUAAAAUCCCUCCUGGCCAGACGAAAAACCCUUUCACCUGUAAAGGG